rnacentral:rRNA from 1 species
UGGGGAAUAUUGCACAAUGGGGGAAACCCUGAUGCAGCGACGCCGCGUGAGCGAAGAAGGUUUUCGAAUCGUAAAGCUCUGUCCUAUGAGAAGAUAAUGACGGUAUCAUAGGAGGAAGCCCCGGCUAAAUACGUGCCAGCAGCCGCGGUAAUACGUAUGGGGCGAGCGUUGUCCGGAAUUAUUGGGCGUAAAGGGUACGUAGGCGGUCUAUUAAGUCAGGUGUGAAAGCGUGAGGCUUAACCUCAUUAAGCACUUGAAACUGAUAGACUUGAGUGAAGGAGAGGAAAGUGGAAGUCCUAGUGUAGCGGUGAAAUGCGUAGAUAAUAGGAGGAAUACCGGUGGCGAAGGCGACUUUCUGGACUUUUACUGACGCUCAGGUACGAAAGCGUGGGGAGCAAACAGG